ensembl:lncRNA
GGUGCGGGAGCGCAAAAUGAAGGAAAUAGUCCAGCAAUUGUGUGGGUGUGCUUGAAAGGGUGUUGUUAUCCAGAGAGUGUGGGAGGGGCUCAGGGAGCUUACAGGAGCUAGAGUGUGAAUAGACAGGUGGGAUUGUGGGGAGGAAUGUGAAGUGUCACUAACAGAGUAGCUAGUGCCGAGGGGUGUGCAAAAGUGUGAGCGGACAGCGCAGGGCUCUGCCAGGGGAGAGGAGCCAUCACACCAGCUGGGAGGCAAGGCCUCUCAGGGCUGCAGCAGGACAGUCGCUGCCACCUCUGCCUGGCGCCUGUUUCCUCCCCGGUUGGCUCCAGGUCAGCGAAGGUGUCUGAGCCAGUGAGGGCACCGGUCUGCUCUGUAGGCGCGGGGUGUAUCCCAGUCCCGCAGGGAAGGGCAGACAUGUGCUCCCGCAGCUGGGGAGGGGCUCCAUGGGGACAGGGAAAGCAUAGAGGUGUCAGCCUGGAGGGUCAGGGUCAGAGCGCCCGACCGAGGCGCGUCCAGUCCCCACCCGUCCCACCACAGCCGCUCUCCGAGGCUCGGACCUCGCCGGCCAAGCCGGACCUCCAGCCGCCCCUCCUCCCGGCAGCCCCUCCUACCCCAGAGGGGCGGGCCGGGCCAGGCGCAGGAGGAAGCGGGGACGCGUCCUCUGGGAGGUGGGAGUCUGGGGAGGGCAUCUGGAGCGCAGAGCAGAGUCGCUGGGAAGGAAGGUGGGGAGAACCGGGAUGAGGGGACUCGGGCGAGGCCCGGGGCCUGGGGUUCCCUCGAGGGGCUCGGCCCGCUCGCCCGCCCUCUCCCUCGGCGGUGACCUCUCGCCCCUCCUGCGGCGGCGCCUUCCCCCUGUGUGUGGCGCCCCAGCCCCCCGGCCCGCUCCCGCCCGGUCGCUCCCUUCCCGGCGGCGGGGCGGGGCGGGGUCCGGGGCGCCGGGGCUCCAGGCUCGGCCGGGCCGCUGCCCUUUCCCGCGCCGUCCACUCCUGCCCGCCCUCCCGCGGGCCGCCGGGGCCAAGCGGCCGCCGCCGCCGCUCCCCGCCGGUGACAGACUUUGCUGCCCGGUCCGGCCGGGCUGCGCCCGCCACCGCCCCCUCACCAAGCCCACCCUCACUAAUCACUCCCAGGCCACUGCGGGCCGGCCCGGGGGCUCGCGGCCGCCGCCCGGCCCCUACCUGCCGCCGGCUCGCCCGCCACGGGCAGCAUGGUGGCUCCGGCCGCGCGGCGCGCAGCGAGGAAGCCGCGACUCCCGCGGCCCGGCCCGGACCAGCCCGGCGCGGCUCUGCCCUCCGCCCUCCUCUCGCCCGCCCUCCUUCCCGCCUCCCCUCCCGGCGGGCCGGGAGGAGAGCGGCGCGGCCCGAGGUGUCGGCCUCCCUCGCCUCCCGUCGGCCCGGCCUCAGACUCCCCGAGCCCCCUCCCUCCCGCCCGCUUCCUCUCCCGGCCCCUCCUCCUCCGCGCGCGCCGUCUCCUCCCGCAGACCCGCUCCUUCCUCGGACUCGCUCUCCCGACUUUGGCGCGGGGCUCGGUCCUCCGCGGUCCCGGGACCCCGCCUCGCCGGGCUCCAGGUGGCCGCCUCCCAGGUCUGUGGGUCGCCCGGGCUGCCCGCCGCGCUUCGGCCACCUCCCGGCCCCGCCGAGCGGACUCCAGGAAUGCCGCGUCCCGCCCGGCCCCUCUCGAGGGCGCCCGGCCCGUGCCCCCCGCCCCGGCCCGAGCCCCGCAGGCGGGGCAGCGCCCGGCUCCCCGGCCCGGCCCCGGCUCAGGACUCCCGGGGAAGGACGGGAACCGGAUCUGGCGGCUCCCGGGCGGGGCGGGGCCGGGGCCUCGGACGCCUGGCUCCUACCUGCUCGGAGGUCCAUGGGGCUGGGGCCGGGCGGGCCAGGCGCAGCUCCUCUCCCGGAGGCUGGCGGAGUGGGAGGGCGAGCCGCGGCUCCGGCGAAGCUUUAAUAAUCCCAUCCGCCAGGCCCACUCGCAGGUUUUUCGCUCGGUUUCGGAUUUUUUUUUUUUCGGUGUGGGACAUUCUGCAAACUUUUUCUGACGUGUAAAGCUGUAACCACAAAUUGUAGCGGCCCUCCCGGGGUGGGGGAGGAGGGGAGGAGGAAGGGAGGGCUUCUGGGGCUCCUCUCCUCCCACAACACUGAGGGGUGAGGUGAGGCGAGGCUGCGGUACCACCCAGGCCUCCUGGGGAGGGGCAGGAGGGCAUCCGUCCGUCGGCAAACUCCCAGGCAGGGGACUGAGCUGGCCGCCCUUUUCUUCUCCUGGGUGUCGGCCUGGGGCGCCGGCCCCAAACCCCGGCGGGGUCCUGCCUCACCCUACCUCUGCCUCAGCAUCUCUAACCUCCCCACCCUCACUCCCCACCCCACCCCGAGUAAACGCAAUGACACAUUCUCCCAAAUGCCAGCGAGCUGGCUUCAGAAGCAAGUGAUGGUGUUUUCCUGCUGCCCUUUGUCUGGGCUGACCGCCCCCUGCCUAUUGUCCCGCCGCCUGUCCCAUUUCCAAACGCCGAGGCUAAGCGAGGCGCCCGGGCUGGGGCAGGUGACUAACCAGCUCACAAUGCCCCUCCCGGUGAGGCAGGUGGAGGCACCACAGGCCCACUGCCCAGUGCGGAGGGAAGAAGAGGGCACUUGGCAGAGGUUCUUCCUCCAGUUCACAGGGUUCUGCAUUCUUCCUGCCCCUGGCCAGAGAGUGCUUAUGGGUGGGGACUCGUAAUUCAUUAAUCAGCACGAGGCACCGGACCAGUUUCAACACCAGAGGUUUCAGGGGUGACUCAGCGAGACCGCUUGGGUGCAAGGCGAUGGAGACCCAGAGUCCCCACUUGUGAAAUGCUUUCCCAUGAAGACUCUGCUUUCUCCUGCCUUUGGAGUUGGGGCUGUGGGCUUUCUGGGUGGUGGGGUAGGGGUGGCUGGGCUGUGAAGUGCCCUCUGUCCAUCCUUCCCUCGAGACUGGACAGGGACUCGCCAAGCGAGAUCCCUAGGAGACCCAUAAGCCCAGACCCUCCUGGAGGGUCUCCUCUCUCCUGCACAGAUGACUGCCAAGGAGAGUGCAGAGAAACGCUCUCAUCUGGGGGCGUGCAGACAUCCCACUCCACUUUUCUUUGGUCAUUUGGUCUCCAAGGCUUGAAUGCUCUAGAGGCCAGACCACCAAUUAAAUCACUUGGUAAUAAGUUGCUUUUGUUGUAGUCUAUUUGCCGCCCCAAGGAGGGAAAGGUGGUGGUGGGCCAGACCUGCACAGUGACUCCUCUCAAGAAAGGCAUCAGAGCCUGUGCCCACCACGCCCGCCCUGGUGCCCCAGAGAAAGAAGGGUACCCUGCCGGCCCUGCUCUCGCCCCUCGAGGCUGCGGGUCAGAGAAGGAGGCACGGUCCUGCCCAGAGCCGGGUUCCCAGGGCAGCUCUUCACUUUCCUGCACUUCCAGAACUGAGGUGGGGGUGGGGGUGGGGGUGGGGAAGAAGUUUGUUUUCAAUUACCUCACUGGAGUGGGACAGACUUUGUUGUUGGGUUUUUUCCCCCUUUCUUUUUCCUAAACGAGGAGAAAAGAGCUGGGAAAGGGACCUGGCCUGCAGUGGGGGCAGGGGCUUUUCUUGGGAGUCAGGAACAGCUCUGAUGAAACCUGCCUUGGGGGCCCUUGGAGAAGUGCUUAGGGGGCCUCCCCGCCCUCCCAGCCAGAAUGCUGGAGUUUCAAUGACAUUCUUGGCGGGCGAGCCGAGGAUCUUUGAUGCCCAUGCCAAGGUCAAGGAGGCAGAUGCCCAGUGGGUGACAGGCACUGAAACUGGCCAGGAGGUCUCCUAGCAGCUACCCUUUGGAGGGAGGGACAGGGGAGGGAGAGGGGAGCCGCUCAAGCCCUUCUCCCGGGGUUUGCAGCCUGCUCCUUGCAGAAAGUGUCUGCACAGACAAUGUGGUUUGGAUUUGGCUGAGCCCCUCAGCACCUUAUAAAGCACCUUGCUGAGUCAGG